rnacentral:rRNA from 1 species
UACGUAGGGUGCGAGCGUUGUCCGGAAUUAUUGGGCGUAAAGGGCUCGUAGGCGGUUUGUCGCGUCGGGAGUGAAAUCCACUGGCUUAACUGGUGGCUUGCUUUCGAUACGGGCAGACUGGAGGUAUGCAGGGGAGAACGGAAUUCCUGGUGUAGCGGUGAAAUGCGCAGAUAUCAGGAGGAACACCGGUGGCGAAGGCGGCUUUCUGGACAGUAACUGACGCUGAGGCGCGAAAGCUAGGGGAGCAAACAGG